GACGAACGCUGGCGGCGUGCUUAACACAUGCAAGUCGAACGGACAGGCCCUGUGUUUGUGGGGUGCUCGUGAGGCGAACGGGUGAGUAUCACGUGAGUAACCUCCCCUUGACUUUCGGAUAUCUUCACGAAACUGGGGCUCAUAUACGAUAGGAGCUCCUGAUGCAUGGGGGGGGUUGGUAAGUUUCGGCUGUUGUGGCUGGUAGGGCAGCUUAUCCGCUUGUUUGUCGAGUAGUUGCUUACCCAGGCUUUGACGGAUAGCCGGCCUGGGAGGGUGAACGCCCACCUUGCGACUGAGAUACGGAGCAGUAUCCAACGGGACGCAGCAGUGGAGAGUAUUACACAACAACCGGGAGCCUGAUGCAGCAACGCCGCGUGCGGGAUGACCGCCUUCGAGUUGUAAACCGCUUUCUAAUUUGACGAAGCGUGAGUGACGGUAAUGGGUAAAGAAGCACCGGCUAACUACGUG
rnacentral:rRNA from 1 species